UGGGGAAUUUUGGACAAUGGGCGAAAGCCUGAUCCAGCAAUGCCGCGUGCAGGACGAAGGCCUUCGGGUUGUAAACUGCUUUUGUACGGAGCGAAAAGCUUUGGGCUAAUACCCUGAAGUCAUGACGGUACCGUAAGAAUAAGCACCGGCUAACUACGUGCCAGCAGCCGCGGUAAUACGUAGGGUGCAAGCGUUAAUCGGAAUUACUGGGCGUAAAGCGUGCGCAGGCGGUUUUGUAAGACAGAGGUGAAAUCCCCGGGCUCAACCUGGGAACUGCCUUUGUGACUGCAAAGCUUGAGUGCGGCAGAGGGGGAUGGAAUUCCGCGUGUAGCAGUGAAAUGCGUAGAUAUGCGGAGGAACACCGAUGGCGAAGGCAAUCCCCUGGGCCUGCACUGACGCUCAUGCACGAAAGCGUGGGGAGCAAACA
rnacentral:rRNA from 1 species